UGGGGAAUUUUGGACAAUGGGCGCAAGCCUGAUCCAGCAAUGCCGCGUGCAGGAUGAAGGCCUUCGGGUUGUAAACUGCUUUUGUACGGAACGAAACGGUCCGCCUUAAUACGGUGGGCUAAUGACGGUACCGUAAGAAUAAGCACCGGCUAACUACGUGCCAGCAGCCGCGGUAAUACGUAGGGUGCGAGCGUUAAUCGGAAUUACUGGGCGUAAAGCGUGCGCAGGCGGUGAUGUAAGACAGAUGUGAAAUCCCCGGGCUCAACCUGGGACCUGCAUUUGUGACUGCAUCGCUAGAGUACGGUAGAGGGGGAUGGAAUUCCGCGUGUAGCAGUGAAAUGCGUAGAUAUGCGGAGGAACACCGAUGGCGAAGGCAAUCCCCUGGACCUGUACUGACGCUCAUGCACGAAAGCGUGGGGAGCAAACAGGAUUAGAUACCCUGGUAGUCCACGCCCUAAACGAUGUCAACUGGUUGUUGGGUCUUAACUGACUCAGUAACGAAGCUAACGCGUGAAGUUGACCGCCUGGGGAGUACGGCCGCAAGGUUG
rnacentral:rRNA from 1 species